CGAACGCGAAAGAAGCCUUCGGGUUUCAAGUAGAGUGGCGUCCGGGUGAGUAACACGUAGGUAAUCUACCUUCGGGUGGGGAAUAACGCAGGGAAACUUGCGCUAAUACCGCAUAAUGCAGCGGCACCACAUGGUGACAGUUGUUAAAGCGGGGGAUUUUCGAACCUCGCGCCUGAAGAGGAGCCUGCGGCAGAUUAGCUAGUUGGUAAGGUAACGGCUUACCAAGGCGACGAUCUGUAGCCGGCCUGAGAGGGCGGUCGGCCACACUGACACUGACAUACGGGUCAGACUCCUACGGGAGGCAGCAGUCGGGAAUUUUGGGCAAUGGGCGAAAGCCUGACCCAGCAACGCCGCGUGAAGGAUGAAAUCCCUCGGGAUGUAAACUUCGCAAGAAUAGGAAGAAUAGACGAGUACUAAUACUGCUCGUGAUGACGGUACUACUUGUAAGCUCCGGCUAACUCCGUGCCAGCAGCCGCGGUAAUACGGGGGGAGCAAGCGUUGUUCGGAUUUACUGGGCGUAAAGGGCGCGUAGGCGGCCAGCGCAAGUCAGUUGUGAAAUCUCCGGGCUUAACUCGGAAAGGUCAACUGAUACUGCGCGGCUAGAGUGCAGAAGGGGCAACUGGAAUUCUCGGUGUAGCGGUGAAAUGCGUAGAUAUCGAGAGGAACACCUGCGGCGAAGGCNGGUUGCUGGGCUGACACUGACGCUGAUGCGCGAAAGCCAGGGGAGCGAACGGGAUUAGAUACCCCGGUAGUCCUGGCCU
rnacentral:rRNA from 1 species